rfam:Triticum aestivum genome assembly, contig: Triticum_aestivum_CS42_TGACv1_scaffold_328444_4BS
CACAUACUCCCUCUGUCCUAAAAUUCUUGUCUUAAAUUUGUACUAAAACGUGACUUGAUACAUCCGUAUUUAGACAAAUCUAAGACAAGAAUUUUGAGACGGAGGGAGUACCAA